rnacentral:rRNA from 1 species
UGCCAGCCGCUGCGGUAAUACAGAGACUGCAAGCGUUACUCGGAUUCACUGGGCGUAAAGGGAGCGCAGGCGGACUAGUGUGUCAGGCGUGAAAUCCCGGGGCUCAACCCCGGGGCUGCGCCCGAAACUACUAGUCUAGAGACUUGGAGAGGUAAGCGGAAUUCUUGGUGGAGCAGUGAAAUGCGUAGAUAUCAAGAGGAACACCAACGGCGAAGGCAGCUUACUGGACAAGAUCUGACGCUCAGGCUCGAAAGCGUGGGGAGCAAAAGGGAUUAGAUACCCCUGUAGUCCACGCUGUAAACGGUGCGCAUUAGGUCUUGGAGCUUUCGAACGCUCCAGGGCUCAAGCUAACGCAUUAAAUGCGCCGCCUGAGGACUACGGCCGCAAGGCUAAAACUUAAAGGAAUUGGCGG